GUUGAAAGCAUUUAAAAUACAGAAACAAUAAAUACUACGAAAACGAUUGUUUAUAGAAACGAAACACACACGAAAAACAAACGAAAAUAAUUAAAUGGAUAGAGAAAAUCUGAACUAAAGAUCGGAGGCACCCAAGAGAGAGCAAUAUGUUUAAUUUGCUAAGGAGAUCGCGUCGCGGAAAAACGCACAAGAUCGGCAGUGACGACGAAAAGGAGGAUAAUGCCGAGAGAUAUAGCCAAGUCGGGGGAAGGGCCACUGCCACUGCGGCCACUUCUCUUCGGCAAGAGAACGGGGAAAGAGCCAGGCGGGCGGUGAUCGAAGAGCUGGAGGACUUUGAAAGCAGCAAUGACGAUGGCGAUGGCGACGAAGAGCGUUUAAAAUUAGCAAAAACAGCUGCUAAUGGCCGCUCCUCCGACGAUUUGUAUAUAAAUAACAUGGGCGGAGAUGCGAGGACACCGAUUCGCCCGUCUCUUCACAGUCUCAGUCAAAACGAGGCAGCCACCGCGAACACAGUUGGUGGUCAAUUGAUUGGCACUAGCCCGCGCCAGCAGCCAAACGGUGGCCCAAACGAACCGCACAAACGACACUCCCUGCUAUCGAUCGGCAACCUGACCAGGACUCUAAGCUCGGCCGAUCCUCCGGAGGAGCCAUCCCAGUCCAAGAAGCGAAAAACUCUACAGAAGAGUCGCGACUUCCUCAGCGACAUUUUCAUGGCGCGUGGUCGCAACCAUCAGCGUCAAAAGCAACAUCAGCAGCAGCAGCAACAUCAAAAUUUUACUGGCAAAACCGCCCAAAAAUCGCCCAAAUAUAAUGCGAAAGACGUAAUCACCGCCGCCGCCGUACACCUUGAAACGAACUCCGACCCCGCGCUCGCAUCCCCAAAUAGUUAUCAAAUGACUUUGGCUAAUAAUAGCCCGACGAACCUCGAAGAGAAAAUCCAACGUGACCGAAGAGAGCCCCGCAGUAAUUCAGCUGGAGCAACGGCGGCAGAGAAAAUGGUUUUCCCGCAGAGCAAUCCGGAAAAUCAGAGCGAUCCGCGGAGCAUAAGAGCUAGGUCCAUGAGUGCGCCACGAGACGGCGGCGCUGGCCCCGUUGGCGGCGUCAAGAAUCUCAUUCAGGCGGCAAGCGUUGAGCGGAAAACAGCAGCUCCCGGCGAUGCAACCGCCAGCCAGCAGCAUCAGCAACAUCUGGCAGCGCACGAGCAACAUCAACCACCGGAGCAACACCAUCAGCAUCAGCAAUUAAGUGACAUAACCAUGGGCCAAACCAGCGCCAAACCGAAUGAAAUUAGCAGUGGUUCGGCCCAUAGUUCGCGGGCCAGCACGCCGCGAGAGUUCCGCGAAUCAAUUAUAAAUCCGAUCCAAAAUCAGAAUCCGCCGCCGCAGGCACCGCCCAGGCAUCAAAAGUCACCGGAAGUGCCCAAGAUAACAGUCGAAGACUGCAGUUUUCACGGAGAGGACACGGAAGUGCCUCAUAACUUCCAAUCCACGGAAAAUAAGCCAACAAGUUUUUACCAAAAGCAACAAACACCAACAGAAAUAUUCUACGAGACCGAAAAGAAUGAAACUCCGGAUCACAGGUCAAGGGAAAUAUUCUAUGAAUUGAAUAGCACCCCCCAAAAUGGCCAAACCACUUUGAACAUCGAGGAACUCAAUGAGGCCCACAUAGAAACCCUGGAAGACGAGGUUUUCGCCUCAGAGAUACCAGCCACCAUAUACCAGAACUGCAACAACCGUCCCUGGACACGGCUCAGUCACACGAAGCUGGAAAAUGUCCAGGAAGAGGCUGAGGAAGAGGAGGAGGAUCAGGACAUGGACGAGAUAGACGAGGCGGUGGACCUGGAGUUUGAGCACCCACGGAUGAACGGAAACUCCCGCCAGUCGGCCAGCAGCGAAAGGAGCGCCCUGAAAAGCGACUCCAAUCUGAGUAGUAGCUACGCGGACUCGGGAAUCGGGGAGCAGGAGCUGGCGCCAGCACCACCGGCAGCGGCACAACCACCUCAACCCCCGCCCCGCAGUUCAUCGCAUCAUCUGAACCACUUUAGUCACCACACGAGUCACCUGAACUCGGGCCUGAGCAUGAACCUGAACCACACCUCCCGUGGCAACUCUACGGACUGCGAGGAGACAUUGCUGCAGUGCGACGAACUCGACGAUUUCAGCGAUUUCAGCGAGCGUUUGGUCUGCAUCGAGAGCAUCAGUCUGCCGGAUGUGGUUGUGGAGUCAACGACCUCCGAGAAAUCACCAUCGACGCCGGCAGCAGCGGCCGGACAGGGAACAUCAGCCACUGCCAAUGGCGACUCGCAGAUCAACAUCAAUAUAGCCAAUGGAGCGGGGGGCAAUAGUCUCGGGAAUGUGCACUUCAUCCCCAUCCACAUCGAGGGCGGCAGCAGCACUCGCAGUCACAGUCACAGCCGGAGCUCCAGUCCGAACAAGCCGCGUAGCCGGGACGACCUGGACAUGCCGCCCAGCAUAGAGAUCGUGGAGGAUGGCUGUAUCCUGAACAAGCCGGUGCGACAGGAGAGUCCCUUCGAUAAUCAGGAGCUCAGAAAGGAGCUGAAGCAGCAGAAGGCCCGGUUCAGCAGCCAACUGGAUGAGGCCCACAAAAAUGUCCACCAGCUGGAGGCCAAGGUCGGGGACAUGCAAGCCAAGAUCCAGAAACUCGAACAGGAACUCUCCCUCAAGCAAUGGAAUGUGGAAAGACUCCAAAGUGAACUGAGUGCCGCCCACAAGGACGAUGAGUAUGUGCGCAAGAAGCUGAAGCUUCUCGAGGACGAGAAGGUUCAUCUGCGGCACAAAUACAGCGAAGAUCAGGACGACUUGCAGCGCAAGUAUGACGAACUCGAAGCUCAGUACAACGAACUUACCGAGAAGUACAAACAGACCCAGGCCCUGGCCAGCAGCCUCCAGACCCAGCUGGCCUGUGCCCAGGUCGACGCCGAGGAGUGGCGCCAGCAGGUAGACCGGAUCAAGGCGGAGCUGGAGGACCAGAUACGCAUCCUGAAGAACGCGCUGGAGAACUCCGAGGCGGAGCGCAAGAUCUGCGAGAACAAGUGGCAGGAGGAGUUCGAGAUGCUCAGGACGCACAAUCGAGAGCGAGAGGAGUCUCUGAUGACGGACUGCGAGUGGCAGCUGCGCCAGAUGCAGCGCCAGUGCAAGGACAAAGUGGACAAGUCCAACUACGAGCGGAAGCAGGCCGCUGCCAAGGCGGAGGAGCUGGAGCAGGAGCUGCAGUCCAGGCGCAAGGAGUCCGAGCACCUCCGCGUCUGCCAGGCCCAGGUGAACUCUCUGAGGGGCGUGGUCAGCGAGCAGGAGCAGUCCAUCCAGACCCUGAUGGACCGGAUCGAGAACCUCAAGGGCGACCUCGAGUCGGCCAACGAGAACCUCGAGGCCCAGAUCGAGGCUGUGCACAAGAUCAAGUAUCAGUGUGAUAAUGCCAUCUACGACAAGGAGCGGCAAAUGAUCUACAAAAUCGAUGAGGUGCGCAACGAAGCUGCCGCCUUCUGGGAAAACAAACUUUACACAGAGAUGACAAGACUGACAAAUGAACUGGAGUCCGUGUACGUGGACGAACGCCGGGAUGCCUUGGACAAGCUGCAAAAUGAGCACAUUGAGGAGCUCAGGGCCCUAACGAAUCGAUAUACGGCCAACGAGGAGGAGCUCAGAGCCGAGAUCGAGGAGUUGCACGAAAACCUAGAGCUUAAAAAACAGGAUUUCCUGGACCUGCGCGAACGUUCCGACAACGCCCUGCUCCAGACCCGAAUGCAUUUGGAUCGGGCCGAUCGGGAGUACCAGAACGCCAUGUGCCGGGAGGAGGAUCGCCGAGUGGACCUCGAGGAGAAGCUGAAGAAGGAGUUUGAGGCGGAGAAGGCCGAGAUGGAGGAGAAGUUCCGGGAGCGCCUGGGCCAGGUCAAGGAGGAGUUUGCCAAGGAGCUGCAGCUGUCCACGCAGGACAUGGUGGACACUCACCGCAAGGAGCUGGACUCUCAAAAGGCCAAGUUGCAGGCGGAAAAGGACGAGGCCCUGCAGGAACUUGUGGAACGACAUCGCGCCAAAAUGGCCGCCGCCGAUGAACGAAUCAACGAUGUAGAACUUCGGCACCAGCGCAACCUCAAGGACCUGAAGGCGGCCUACGACGCCGAGAAGCAGGCGCUGGACAAGCGCGACAUCAGCAACGCCAACGAGAUCGAGCAGCUGCAUCGCAAGUGCCGCUGCCUGACCAACCUCUUCGAGGAAAUGCGGAUGAGGUACGAACGAAGGGAUCCACGGCAAGAGGACCUGCGUGAGAUCUCCGAGCUGAGGACCCGCUGCGACAGCCAGGAGCGGGACCUCUACAUCCUCACCGAUCGGCUGCGGGAGAUGCAGAUCCAGAUGUCCGAGCUGCAGCAGAAUGGCGACCGCAAUGUGGGCGGGAAGUCGGUGAAGAAGCCGCCACCCAAAACGAUAGCCACCAGCUGUGAUGUCAUCUACGAGGAGAACGAGGAGCGGGAGUCCCCGGAGCAGGAAAACGGGGAGAACGAAGAGGAGGAGGAGGAGGUGGAGCAGGAGCCCAGUGACACCGAGUCGAACCACACGAUCGAGGUUAAUGGAAAAUCCGAUCGCAUCAACGAGGACGAGGCCCACCUGAUCACUGCCGUGUGAUUCUUCUAUUUUCCAAAAGUCUGACUCUCCUCCAAGUUGUGUCUCUUUUUUCUCGGUGUAAUCCCAUGUGCCGUGUGGUCUUCCGGGAACAAGCAUGCGGGAUCGUUGGAGCUUGGUCCUUUGGCGGUUCCUGGACCGCUAAGCCUCCUUUUGUGUCGCGGGUGCGGAAGUCCACCGUCUCCGCCAUCGCUCAAAGCCUGAACUCAUAAAAAUUGUAAAUGAAAUUUCUAAUUGGUUUUUAAAACCACCAAAAAAAUAAACGAAAUAAAUGUAAAUAUUUUUAACAAAAUAUUAAUCUUUCCAAAGACUUUAUUUUCAUUGAAUUUUUUGAACUUCUGCAUCUAGAUUGAAAAGGCUUGAAGCUCUAAUUCAUAAAUGGUUUUCUGUUUCAGAAUUUGUUGCGAAAUAACUAAAAUGUACCACUUUCUGAAAUGAACUAAAAGAUAUAAAAAAAACCCUAAUUCAUUUCAUGAUUCAUUCUUUAUAUUAUUUUUUCAAGCAAUCUGUGCACAUAUUCUGAAUUUUUCCUUAUCUUCACCUUUGGUUUGGGCGCUAAUCAUUUAAUUCGUAGGUUGCCAGAUGUUUUGAAAGGCACAUUCAACGGCAGCACUGUGAAACACAGGGUGACUCUGCAACGUUGCACGAUUGUCUCUCUGGCUCUCCCGCCAACAUGUUCCGGUCGGCAAUGGCUGAAGAGAGAGAAUGGCGUACGAGAAUGGUGGAUGCGAGAGAGCACAAUGGCACUCGGUCGGUCGGCCAUCUUCGGGUCUGUCUCAACAUGUUGCAGUUAGACGUGACAAGGACGCAGUAUAGGCUUACUCUAUGCGUGCGAGGGAAAGGUAAACUAUCCAUGUUCGGAGCUGACUGCUGCGACACUGGAAAAAACAUCGGGCCUGUUUCCGAAGGUGAGCUGUACCACGGCGUUAUCAAAACGAUAUCGGGCUCAAACACAAUUCAGGACUCUUCGGGUACGGACGUGCCGCUUCUCGUUCGGAAGCUGGGAAUUUCGUAAGGUGCCUGUGGCUGCGGAAACCGUGGAAAGCCGGUGCGGGCGCCGCGUGUUGGUGAUAACUGGAUAACUGCAACUAAGUACAAGUACGAGUUCAGCAAGGUCGUUGGGGUUACAGUGCAAAGCAGUGACAAAGCAACAAGAAUAGUGACAAACAGUGACAAGAACCAGCGAGUUGAAGUCUAAAUCCAAACAGAGAUAAUUGCAAGAAGGUAGAUCUAGCUCGUCGCGCUUAAACGGUAAAACUCCCGUGUGUGAGUGUUCGAGUACGAGAGUGUGCGUUUCGUUUUUCGUUUUGUUUUCACCUUCUGGUUACAGCAUCCUCCUACGUCUUGUAAUUCGGCCAAGGAAGCGAAAUGACCAGAGUGAACUGUUUAUGCAACGGUGGCCUGUCGGGCGCUUCCUUGCAGCUUGGAGAAGUGACACGAUUAGUCAAAGUGCUGGAAUUGAAGCCAGAAAUUAAUCCGAUUUUAAUUCAAAUCGGUCCUGCCAUCAGAAAGCCAAAAUACUACAUAUUAAGUUUAAUUUUAAGAUUAAAAUUAGUUAUUACUAAGAUAGUUGUUUAGACUAAGUAGUUAUUGUUCUGAAAUACAAAUUCUAAACAAGGGGGGCUU